AUAAAAGAGGUUACAGGCUAAAGGUGGAUGCCUUGACACGAAAAGGCGAUGAAGGACGCGGUAAGGCGGCGAUAUGCUUGGGGGAAGUGCCUAACAACUUUUGAUCCCGAGAUUUCCGAAUGGGGCAACCCGAUUGCGGUGAACCGCAAUCGAUCAACGCUUAAGCGUUGAUCGCGUACCCGGUGAAGUGAAACAUCUCAGUAACCGGAGGAAUAGAAACCAAUAUGGUAUACCCUAAGUAGCGGCGAGCGAAAUGGGUCCAGCCUAAACCGUAUAUCCCCUUAAAAGGGUGUGCGGGGUUUAUAGGGGGAAAGCGAUCUCUUGCUUUGCAUGUGUUCCCUUAAACAGGAAUGUAUGCAAAGUUUGAGGGGUUGGUUACAAAAUAAAUUUUUAGCUGAACGAUUUUGGAACAAACGGCCAAAGGAGGUGAAAGCCCUGUAAGCGAAAAAAAUUUAUCCAAUCUGCUUUCUUUCCUGAGUACCUCGGCGACAGAACGCGUUGAGGGAAUAUCCCAGUAUUGCCUGGGAAGGCUAAAUACUUUUCGUGAUCGAUAGAGGACAAGUACCGCGAGGGAAAGGUGAAAAGCAGUCCGGCGAGGACAGUGAAAUAGAACCUGAAACCUUUAGCUUACAUAGAGUUGGAGCCCUAAGUGCCGCAAGGCGCGGGGUGACAACGUGCCUAUUGAAGAAUGACCCGGCGAGUCUUUGUAUGUUCUUUGUCUAAGGGCAGUCAAGCCCGCAGGCACAGCGAAAGCAAACGUUAAUAGCGUGAAAUAAAAAGAGCAUGCGAAGGACCCGAAGCUGGACGAUCUUACCAUGACCAGGGUGAACCAGUCGUAAAAAGCUGGGAAGGCCCGAACCGGUAGGCGUGACAAAACCUUCGGAUGAGUUGUGGUAAGCAGUGAAAAGUUAAUCGUGUUCAGUAAUAGCUGGUUCUCCUCGAAAUAGUUUUAGGACUAGUGUCUGCUCGUGAAGUACGGGGGGUAGAGCACUGAUUGGUUGGUGCAGGGCUUGCCCAGCUAACCAUUCAACCUCCGAAUACCCGUUCUUUUAUGCAGGCAGUUAGUACUUGGGGGAUAAGCUCCAGGUACGAGAGGGAAACAACCCAGAUCACCUGCUAAGGUCCCUAAAUCUUGAUUAAGUGGGAAAGGCUGCUCUUUCUUUUAGACGGUUGGGAGGUUGGCUCAGAAGCAGCCACCCUUUAAAGAGUGCGUAACAGCUCACCAACGGAAAGGGAGGGUGCCGAAAAUGAAAGGGGCUAAAUCAAGUACCGAAGCAGUGAAUGCGCAAUAUCUUCGGAUGUUGUGCGUGGUAGAGGAGCAUUCCAUACUCGACUGAAGCGGGAUCCGCGAGGGCCCGUGGAGGGUAUGGAAGAGAGAAUGCCGGGAUGAGUAACCGCAAUUUCGUUGAAUAACACGAAACGCCGCAAGCCUAAGGUUUCCUUGGCAAUGUAAAUCAGCCAAGGGUUAGGCGGUCCUAAGGUGAUGGCAUAUGCCGCAGCCGAUGGACAGCUAGUUAAUAUUCUAGCCCCACAGUGCGUAAGCGAUGGAGUGACGGAGGAAAUGACCUUCUGGGUCUUAAUGGUUUGAUCUUGAUGCCGGUGAGAUUGGAUACUUUGGUAAAUCCGGGUAUCUGCGUUCAAUCGCAACUCUCGUGCCGGAGUCAGAACUUUAUCCCACGGGAUGAGGGACAGAAGAGAAGAGCCUUCCAAGAAAAACUUCUAAGCGUUGUAUACGCAUUGUGUCCGUACCGCAAAACCGACACAGGUAGGCGAGGCGAGUAGCCUCAGGCGAACGAGUGAAAUGUCUCUAAGGAACUCGGCACACAAGCGGGCGUAACUUUGGGAUAAGCCCUGUCGUGCCUAGCGCGAUCGCAGCGAAAGACUCCCUAGCGACUGUUUAUCAAAAACACAGCUCCCUGCUUAACUCCAAAAGAGGAAGUAUAGGGGGUGACACUUGACCAAUGCCGGAAGGUUAACGGCGGGAUGUGGUUGUGCGGCUUGCCGUAUGACUGCGUACCUGCUUAAGCCCCGGUCAAUGUCGGCCCUAACCCUGAGGGUCCUAAGGUAGCGCAAUUCCUUUUCGGGUAAGUUCCGAAGCGCAUCAAAAGUGUAACGACUGGGGAACUGUCUUAGAGACAUGCUCGGUGAAAAUUCAAUGCCCGUGAAAAUGCGGGCAACUGGUGGCGGGACGAAAAGACCCUAGGAGCUUUACUGUAGCUACUUAUUGUCUUUGGUUAAACUGUGCAUAGCGUAGUGAGGAGGAUUUGAAGGUGUGCUUUCGGGCGCGCUGGAUCCGACAAUGGAACACUCACCAUAUUUUGGUCAAAGACUAACUUCAUAGUGAACCUAUGGAAAACAGUGGGUGGUGGGCAGUUUUUCUGGGGCGGAACCCUCCUAAAGAGUAACGGAGGGGUUCAAAGGUUGGCUUAUCUUGGAUGGAAACCAAGAUCAACGUGUAAGGGCAUAAGCCAGCUUAACUGCGACACUGACAGGUGAAGCAGAAGCGAAAGCUGGACCUAGUGACCCGACGGUCCUUUGUAAGAAGGCCGGAGACAACGGAUAAAAGCUACCCUAGGGAUAACAGGCUAGUGAGAUCCGAGCGUCCCCAGCGACGAUCUCGCUCGGCACCUCGAUGUCGGCUUACCCUAGCUCGGGGCUGUAGAAGGUCCCAAGAGUCGGGCUGUUCGCCCGUUAAAAGGGUUCGUGAGCUGGGUUCAAACCGUCAAUUGGCGGCCUAUGAGAGUAAUCUCAUAUGGAAAAAACUGACUCAUAUCGAUGAAAUCCUAAUGACACUUGCAAGGCAACCUGUCGUGUGUUAGGAUAAUAUCGAGGGAAGUCGUACGUCCUCGCAAAACACCAAUGCGUCUAAAAGAAACCGAUAAAGCAUAUGUUGCAGGAUUUUUGGAUGGAGACGGAAGCAUUUAUGUGCGUAUCAAACCAAAUAAAAGUUACCGUUUCAAAUUCCAAAUUGCGCCAUCUGUUGUUUUCUUUCAAUCAAAAGAAAACAAAAAGUUUUUGCAAAGUAUUCAAUGCCUACUUGGCAUAGGAAAUAUACGAGAGCGAAAAGAUGGUAUAUGUGAACUUAUGAUUCAACGCGAGCACGAAAUAAUUUUGCUACUACGUCAGAUUGAAAAAUAUCUGAAACUGAAGCGGAAACAAGCGCAGCUCAUUGUAAAAAUAUUAGAUCAAAAGCAAUCGGUAAAAACAGGACAUGACUUUGUGCAACUUACUGCAUUGAUAGAUAGGUUUGAAAAACUGAACUAUUCAAAAAAACGUAAAAUUUCAGCACAAGUGGUUCAAGACACAUUGGAAGCAGAGGAUUUAUUGACCCCGUAGAGACUUUCCCCGUAAAGGGGAGGGGUUUUCUGAAAAAUCAGAAAGCCAACACGUCAGUCCCCAUUUCUGUAUAGAGAUGGGUGGUGGUAUAGUCCAUACUUUUGGUAACAAAAGAUCAAUAAAUGCGUGAGACAGGUUGGUCUCUAUCUGCCAUCAGCGUCUGGAGAUUUGAAGGAAGUUGGCCCUAGUACGAGAGGACCGGGCUGAGCUGACCUCUGGUGUAUCGGUUGCAUUACCAAGUGCACCGCCGAGUAGCUAAGUCAGCAUGGGAUAAGCGCUGAAAGCAUCUAAGCACGAAGCCCACCCUAAGAUAAGAUCUCUUCUUGUCGCAAGACAAGAGUUUUCGUUGAAAACAAAGAAACAAAAGCUUCGGCCGGAGUUUCUGAGUUUGAUGCGGGAAUAAUCUCCCCAGAAGACGACUGGGUAUAUAGGCUCUAGGUAGAAGCGCUGCAAGGCGCGUAGCCAAGGAGUACUAAUGAGAGCAUCUCUUUUAUCU
rnacentral:rRNA from 1 species